AAUGACACAUUUUUAAAUAUACUUUCUUUUGACUUUAUAAAUACGUAAAUACAUGAAAUAAUAUUUUUCACUCUUGAGUUGAAUGAGGUGCUGAUAUCUGGUUUCUUUAUAGGUGUGUCUAUGUCCCUUUCUUUGAUUUUUUUUUUCAUCUUUUUAUGUUGCAAAUUCUAUUGGUGAGUUUUUUUUUUUUGUUUUUUUUUUAAAUCAACAUUGUGCUUCAUUGUUGUUUGAUUCAUUUGCCAGUUUACUGUUUUUCUUUAUCUUAAAAGUUGGCCUUUUUCCUGUUUGCUUUAUUAUUUAUAAUUUGUGAUGAGGUUGAAGUAAAAGAUAUGGUA
rnacentral:lncRNA from 1 species